rnacentral:misc_RNA from 1 species
AGGAUUCUUCUUAUUAUAUCUACAUCUGGAAUGACUGUUAGCUUGCUUCUUGUUGCAGUUGCCUUUUAUUUAGAGGGCAUUGUUUCAAACGAUUCACAUUUAUAUAGCAUUGUGGGAAUCCUGUCACUUGUGGGGCUUGUGGCUAUGGUAAUUUUCUUCUCCCUUGGGCUUGGAGCUAUUCCUUGGCUUAUAAUGUCUGAGAUACUCCCAGUGAAUAUUAAGGGCCUUGC